rnacentral:lncRNA from 1 species
UUCCGCCUAAUGCUCAAAGGAAAGUAUGCCUCUGACAAAGAAAUCACCCACGCACCCAAACCGGUUAAAUCAAUUGUUUCAUCUUUGAUAUAAACAAAUAACACUCAACGUCCACCAAUCAUUAGUCUUCAUUCACUUUCUAAUCUCCACUUUGAAAAGGCGUGGGAACCACCCACACUCAUCACCAUAUCUUAUUUUCUCCCAACAAAACCGUAAACUCUUUUUCCUCAUCUAACUAUAUUCUUUAUUUUAUUUUUCUUUAUUCCCUCCACUUUGCUCAUUGUUUACGGAUACAGUACCUCCCCUUCCUACCUAUAUUUUUUUAUUUAAUUCUUUUUCUAUGGCUCCGGGUCCUUAAAGUUAAAGUUUAAAUGGCGGGGACCGUGGGGUAAGUGAUAGAAGGAGAAAAGUAUUAUUUGGUGUUAUUAGGUUUAGGUGCAGAGAGGAAACCCACGUAUAGUUGCAUCCAAGUGGGAAAAGUGAGGGGUAUUAUUUUGAGUUACUUGAUAUAGUGGUAAUGGGCGUGGGUCCCAUGGGUAUAUUGGUUGCAGGGAAGGAGUUUUCCAUCUGGUUUGGUUUUGGUGUUAGAAGGUUGCAUGAGAGAGGAAAAUGGAAUGAAUAUGCAGGAAGGUGAAUUACUUGAGGUUAUUUUUGGGUUACUUUUAUCAUAUGAGUUAAGUAUUUUUUAGUUCUAUAAUUUGGAGUGAUUUUGGUAAUAUCAGUGACACGACUUUGGCAUUCAAGUUUGGGGUUUCAGUAAAUGGUUGGUUAAGUUUGUCUAUUUUUAAUUAAAUGAUUAUUUUGAUUUUUAGAAUCUCAAAAUUUAUAGAUAAAUGUUAUGUUGGCCGUACUUGCCAAAGUAAG